GAUGAAGAACGUAGCGAAAUGCGAUAAGUAGUGUGAAUUGCAGAAGUACCGUGAAUCAUCGAAUCUUUGAACGCAAAUUGCACUCUCUGGUAUUCCGGGGAGUAUGCCUGUUUGAGGGUCGCUUAACAAACCAUCGAUUUCGUUGCUUUUUUUUUUAAAGUGAUGUUUAUCGGAUUUGAGCCGUCUUUUUUUUUAUAUUUAAGUGGCUUAAAAUUGAUUUUUUUUGUACGAUCGAAGCGUAUUUUUAUGAUCAAUUUUUGGUUAAAGAAACGCACACGUACCGUUAUUUAUAUGAUGUAAUACGUUUGACUAUUGGAUUUAGUUCAUUCGUAUACGAUAUCUUUCAAUAUUUGACCUCAAAUCAGGUAAGAACACCCGCUGAACUUAAGCAUAUCAAUAAGCGGAGGA
rnacentral:misc_RNA from 1 species